GACGAACGCUGGCGGCGCGCCUAACACAUGCAAGUCGAACGGAGAUACUCUGUUCACCGAGCAGUUAGAGGUAGCGUCACAGAAUUUAUUUUGUGAGCGUCACUUCUACUGCUGGGUGAAUAGAGUGUCUUAGUGGCGGACGGGUGAGUAACACGUGAAUAACCUGCCUUACAGUGGGGAAUAACACAUCGAAAGAUGUGCUAAUACCGCAUAAUGUUCCAAUCUCGCAUGGGAAUGGAACCAAAGAUUUAUUGCUGUAAGAUGGAUUCGCGCCCGAUUAGCUAGUUGGUGAGGUAACGGCCCACCAAGGCGACGAUCGGUAGCCGGACUGAGAGGUCGAACGGCCACAUUGGGACUGAGACACGGCCCAGACUCCUACGGGAGGCAGCAGUGGGGGAUAUUGCACAAUGGGCGAAAGCCUGAUGCAGCGACGCCGCGUGUGGGAAGACGGUUUUAGGAUUGUAAACCACUGUCUUCGGGGACGAUAAUGACGGUACCCGAGGAGGAAGCUCCGGCUAACUACGUGCCAGCAGCCGCGGUAAUAC
rnacentral:rRNA from 1 species